CAACGCUGGCGGAAAUUUUAACACAUGCNACGUCGAACGCACCUUCGGGUGAGUGGCAGACGGGUGAGUAACGCGUGGGAAUCUACCUUUUGGUACGGAAUAGCUCCGGGAAACUGGAAUUAAUACCGUAUGUGCCCUUUGGGGGAAAGAUUUAUCGCCAAGAGAUGAGCCCGCGUUUGAUUAGGUAGUUGGUGGGGUAAUGGCCUACCAAGCCGACGAUCAAUAGCUGGUCUGAGAGGAUGAUCAGCCACAUUGGGACUGAGACACGGCCCAAACUCCUACGGGAGGCAGCAGUGGGGAAUAUUGGACAAUGGGCGCAAGCCUGAUCCAGCCAUGCCGCGUGAGUGAUGAAGGCCCUAGGGUUGUAAAGCUCUUUCGCCGGUGAAGAUAAUGACUGUAGCCGGUAAAGAAGCCCCGGCUAACUUCGUGCCAGCAGCCGCGGUGAUACGAAGGGGGCUAGCGUUGUUCGGAAUUACUGGGCGUAAAGCGCACGUAGGCCGGACAUUUAAGUCAGGGGUGAAAUCCCGGAGCUCAACUCCGGAACUGCCUUUUGAUACUGGGUGUCUCGAGUAUGGAAGAGGUAAGUGGAAUUGCGCGUGUCGAGGUGAAAUUCC
rnacentral:rRNA from 1 species